rnacentral:rRNA from 1 species
UAGGGAAUCUUCCGCAAUGGGCGAAAGCCUGACGGAGCAACGCCGCGUGAGUGAUGAAGGUCUUCGGAUCGUAAAACUCUGUUAUUAGGGAAGAACAAAUGUGUAAGUAACUAUGCACGUCUUGACGGUACCUAAGCAGAAAGCCACGGCUAACUACGUGCCAGCAGCCGCGGUAAUACGUAGGUGGCAAGCGUUAUCCGGAAUUAUUGGGCGUAAAGCGCGCGUAGGCGGUUUUUUAAGUCUGAUGUGAAAGCCCACGGCUCAACCGUGGAGGGUCAUUGGAAACUGGAAAACUUGAGUGCAGAAGAGGAAAGUGGAAUUCCAUGUGUAGCGGUGAAAUGCGCAGAGAUAUGGAGUAACACCAGUGGCGAAGGCGACUUUCUGGUCUGUAACUGACGCUGAUGUGCGCAAGCGUGGGGAUCAAACAGG